UACGGAAGGCAGCAGUGGGGAAUAUUGCACAAUGGGCGAAAGCCUGAUGCAGCUAUGCCGCGUGUAUGAAGAAGGCCUUAGGGUUGUAAAGUACUUUCAUCGGGGAGGAAAAACAAAACUAAUAAUUUUAUUUCUUGACGUUACCCGAAAAAGAAGCACCGGCUAACUCCGUGCCAGCAGCCGCGGUAAUACGGAGGGUGCUAGCGUUAAUCAGAAUUUACUGGGCGUAAAAGAGCACGUAGGUGGUUUUUUUAAGUCAGAUGUGAAAUCCCUGGGCUUAACCUGGAAACUGCAUUUUUGAAACUGAAAUACUAGAGUAUCGUAGAGGGAGGUAGGAAUUCUAGGUGUAGCGGUGAAAUGCGUAGAUAUCUGGAGGAAUACCUGUGGCGAAAGCGGCCUCCUAAACGAAUACUGACACUGAGGUGCGAAAGCGUGGGGAGCAAAACAGGGAUUAGAUACC
rnacentral:rRNA from 1 species